rnacentral:rRNA from 1 species
GAGUUUGAUCGUGGCUCAGAUUGAACGCUGGCGGCAGGCCUAACACAUGCAAGUCGAGCGGAUGAAGGGAGCUUGCUCCUGGAUUCAGCGGCGGACGGGUGAGUAAUGCCUAGGAAUCUGCCUGGUAGUGGGGGAUAACGUCCGGAAACGGGCGCUAAUACCGCAUACGUCCUGAGGGAGAAAGUGGGGGAUCUUCGGACCUCACGCUAUCAGAUGAGCCUAGGUCGGAUUAGCUAGUUGGUGGGGUAAAGGCCUACCAAGGCGACGAUCCGUAACUGGUCUGAGAGGAUGAUCAGUCACACUGGAACUGAGACACGGUCCAGACUCCUACGGGAGGCAGCAGUGGGGAAUAUUGGACAAUGGGCGAAAGCCUGAUCCAGCCAUGCCGCGUGUGUGAAGAAGGUCUUCGGAUUGUAAAGCACUUUAAGUAGGGAGGAAGGGCAGUAAGUUAAUACCUUGCUGUUUUGACGUUACAACAGAAUAAGCACCGGCUAACUUCGUGCCAGCAGCCGCGGU